GGAAUCUUAGACAAUGGGCGCAAGCCUGAUCUAGCGAUGCCGCGUGAGUGACGAAGGCCUUAGGGUCGUAAAGCUCUUUCGCCAGGGAUGAUAAUGACAGUACCUGGUAAAGAAACCCCGGCUAACUCCGUGCCAGCAGCCGCGGUAAUACGGAGGGGGUUAGCGUUGUUCGGAAUUACUGGGCGUAAAGCGCACGUAGGCGGAUCAGAAAGUUGGGGGUGAAAUCCCGGGGCUCAACCCCGGAACUGCCUUUGAUACUGGUAGUCUUGAGUUCGAGAGAGGUGAGUGGAAUUCCGAGUGUAGAGGUGAAAUUCGUAGAUAUUCGGAGGAACACCAGUGGCGAAGGCGGCUCACUGGCUCGAUACUGACGCUGAGGUGCGAAAGCGUGGGGAGCAAAC
rnacentral:rRNA from 1 species